UAUUUUUCCACUUGGGAAUUCCAAUUCCAAUUGCUACGUGUGCUACAUCUCAGAAAUUGUUGCAAUUGUGAGUUGCCUGAUUCAAUUGACAAAUUGAAACAUCUAAGGCUUCUCGAUCUCUCAUUUUCUGAUAUUAUGAGGUUACCCAACUCAUUUACAAAUCUUCACAAUCUACAGAUGUUGGA